rnacentral:lncRNA from 10 species
AGCUCCGCGGUAAUGGAGGCUAGGGAUGGGUGCUGAAGUAUCAGGCUCUGGCUCUAGCUUUAGCUCUGGCACUGGAACUGCGUCGGAGUCUGGGUCUGAGUCUGGCAGCCCGAAGCCUGGACACCUUUUCUUGAUUCUCUAGGCGGGGGCUGCCUGCGUCCAAGCAGCUGGUUUGCAGCGUUCCAACGCUGGGAGGGAGUUCCCUUACCUGGGGUCCAGUCUGUAAAGUUGUCGCCGCUUUCUAGGGACCCCGCCCCACCGGCUGGGACUCUUCCAUGCAGUUGAAACUGGUUGACAACCAUUAACCUGGGUUGCAACUACAGGUGGCACUGGAAGCAGACUGGUUCCUGGACAUGCCCGGUGGAAGGAGGGGCCCUAGUCGGCAACAGCUAAGCCGUUCAGCUUUACCUUCUUUGCAGACUUUGGUUGGUGGAGGCUGUGGCAAUGGAACAGGCUUGAGAAACAGUACAUCAACAUUUAUAAAACAGUGUGGUGGUAUCCUUACAAUCAUCCUGCUUCUUGUACAUCACUGAAUUUUCAUCUCAUUGAUUAUC